UAGCACUGUGGUGAUUGUAGGAACAGCUACUCAUACAUUGUGUGAGGAAUGGACUUGAAAAUAAGAUGUUAAGUUCAGCAAAGAAACAAACUCCAUAGUUAAUAUAGGACUGGACAACAUGACUGGUGGUGGUGGCCAUGGGUUCAAGGGCCAAGUCAAAGCACAGUGGAGAUAGUGGCAGCAAGCAGGACGGCCAACACCCAGAGCAGGUGGGGGCUGCACUCACCGUCAAGAGGUGACUCCUAAACAGCUUCUCUUCACCAUGAACCCACUGCUCAUAGAGAUCAUCUAGAGAGGUCCGUCUGCAGUUGCUACUGGAUCAUCUGUGGCUACUCAGGGUCGGGCCUUCUCUGUUGCUGCCCUAAGGUUUGGAAUGCACUCCCUGUUGAAAUAAGAGCAUCCCCAUCUCUGACAAAUUUUUAAAAGGUCUUUAAAGACACAUUUGUUCACUCAGACUUUUAAUUAGAUUGCAGUAUUUACAGUUUUAUUAUUGUGUUAAAUUUUAAAUUGUUGUAGUAUUUUAACUUUUUAUUUUGUAU